rnacentral:lncRNA from 1 species
UUUUUUUUUUUUCUUUUGGAAAAUUUGAACAAUAUCCAGUCAGCCAUGUAGAAGUUGGGCAUUAGUGAAAAAAAAACAAGGACAUGUUUUGUCUUUCAAAAUCGAUGUAAGCCUUUCUUUUGCGUGACCAAUUAAAGAACAACUAAACUUCAAAAUGAGAAACUUUCCACUUGUCUUAGGCCUCAUCAAGGAUGAACCUUGAUGAUAAUGAGAUAAUGGAAUGAGAAUAAAGCAGAAACAGUUGAAAUUUGUCUCUCUUCAUUUUACUUGCACUAAGUUUCACAAAUGCCCACAGAUGCAUGACUUCUGAAAUUUAAAAAUACAUGGUAUUUGUGAAAUUUGAGUCUACUGAGGCGGAACAUACUCAGAGAAAUGAAAAAAACUUUCCAGAUAAGUCCAGAUUAAUAUCUGGAGGGUAAAUAACUUAGUUCCCUCCAAAUUUCCCUUAACAUAAACUUUUUUUGCCUUCUUACUUCUCAUCUAUGCAAUUUCUUCACCUAAUACUUGUUUUAACACUCUGAUUUACCCAAGUUCACCCUGGGCCCUUAAAAUUACAAAGCAGUUUAGAAACAACUGGUCCCCAUUGAGUAAAAAAGAAUGUAUACACACCAUGUUGCAUAGUAGGAGAAAAAAAAAAAAGUACUGGGGAAAUUAAAAAAAGAAAAAAGAAAAGAAACGACUGGUCCCCUUAACUAGCCAUGCUUUUUUUUGUUGUUGUUGUCUUUUUAGGGCCGCACCUGGGGCAUAUGGAAGUUCCCAGGCUAGUGGUCUAAUUGGAGCUGCAGCCACCAGCCUACACCAGAGCCACAGCAACGCGGGAUCCGAGCCGCGUCUACGACCUACACCACAGUUCACGGCAAUGCCAGAUCCUUAACCCACUGAGCAAGGCCGGCAACUGUAGCUCCAAUUUGACCCCAAACGUGGGAACAUCCAUAUGCCAUGGGUGCAGCCCUAAAAAACAAAAACAAAAACAAAAACAAAAAAUCUGUUCCUCAAUCCUCUGUUACCCUCCGAAUAGAGCCCAAACUCACAAAUGACUCUGCACCCAAAGGAGCUUCUUAUGAUUCCAGGAUUAACUCUUAAGGAAUGAACAGAGAGGAGGGAGAAGCAGGCAUGGGAGAGAGAGACAGAGAGAGAAGGAGGGAAGGAGGGGCCAGCUGACAAAAAACCCCACUCGUACCCAUCACCCCACUUCACAAUGCAGUCACGUUUUUCAGUUUCUCAUUUCAAGUCUCUGCUUACUUUUUUUUCUUUUUAG